GAUGAAGAACGCAGCGAAAUGCGAUAAGUAAUGUGAAUUGCAGAAUUCCGUGAAUCAUCGAAUCUUUGAACGCACAUUGCGCCCCCUGGCAUUCCGGGGGGCAUGCCUGUCCGAGCGUCAUUUCUGCCCUCAAGCACGGCUUGUGUGUUGGGUGUGGUCCCCCCGGGGACCUGCCCGAAAGGCAGCGGCGACGUCCGUCUGGUCCUCGAGCGUAUGGGGCUCUGUCACUCGCUCGGGAAGGACCUGCGGGGGUUGGUCACCACUAUAUUUUACCACGGUUGACCUCGGAUCAGGUAGGAGUUACCCGCUGAACUUAAGCAUAUAAUAAGCGGAGGA
rnacentral:misc_RNA from 1 species